GUAUACUAAUUUGUUUUGUCCAUGUCUCUUUCAGCUGUGGCUGUGCUGUUAUGCAUCAUACUGUCAGCAGAAGCAUCUGAUGUCCUGCGAUGCACAGGGGAGAGACAACGCGAUGGGCAGUUCUACUUCAACAUGUCGCAUGGCCUUCAAGAGGACGUCGAUGACUGCGAGACCCAAUGGGUCAUCAAUGGAAGCGUGGCAGGGAUUUUUAAUGCUGAUGAAAAUAAGUUCAUACCCCCACUUGUAAUGGCAACAGCAAACACUGCCCUCUUACAGACCUGCCCUGAAAAACUUGAAUGCCUGCUCAUCUGCCCCUCUGCCAGUAUCAACACAAGGGAGCAGUGCUCUUGUAAGUAAUUGACUUACUACUAUAUAAUACUUCAACACAAUUUUAGCACAUAGUAAUAUCGAGUAACUAAAAAUAAAAGUCUAGAGAUCUUUUAUUGCCCUAGAAUGUGCAAUAAAGUGAAAUAAAAUUGUUUUGCAGGUGAUAUCACUUCUCCGACUACACUUCCUGAAGGUAAGGUCAACUGCUUAUGCUGUAGCACUAAAUUGUUUUAAACUAUUAACAUGAAAGUACUCAAAUAAAGUGAUGCCACUGUACACUCACACAUUUUCUGUUAGCAAAAAUAGGCUUUUUUUUAGGCCAGCAAGCUAGUAUCCUGUUUCAGACACCAGAAUGCUAUGAAACGAAUGCACAUGCUUGGUUUCAUUUUUUUCAAGUUCUUUAAUGACACAAGUGAACAUAAGAGAGAUUUGUCGCUCCAUCAAAAAGUCCAUUCACUCAAAACUGUGGCUCUUAAAAAACUUAAGAAAG
rnacentral:lncRNA from 1 species